GGGGAAUUUUGGACAAUGGGGGCAACCCUGAUCCAGCCAUGCCGCGUGAGUGAAGAAGGCCUUCGGGUUGUAAAGCUCUUUCGGCGGGGAAGAAAUGGCAACGGCUAAUAUCCGUUGUUGAUGACGGUACCCGCAUAAGAAGCACCGGCUAACUACGUGCCAGCAGCCGCGGUAAUACGUAGGGUGCGAGCGUUAAUCGGAAUUACUGGGCGUAAAGCGUGCGCAGGCGGUUUCGUAAGACAGACGUGAAAUCCCCGGGCUAAACCUGGGACUGCGUUUGGGACUGGGGGGGUAGAGUACGGGCAAGGGGGGUGGGAUUCCACCGGGAGGAGGGAAAUGCGUAGGGAUGGGGAGGAAUACCGAUGGCGAAGGCAGCCCCCCUGGGUAGUACUGACGCUCAUGCACGAAAGCGUGGGGAGCAAACC
rnacentral:rRNA from 1 species